rnacentral:rRNA from 1 species
AUUGAACGCUAGCGUGAUGCCUUACACAUGCAAGUCGAACGGAGUGGCGGACGGGUGAGUAAUAUAUCGGAACGUGCCCAGUAGCGGGGGAUAACUACUAGAAAGAGUGGCUAAUACCGCAUACGAUGGGAUCUGCCGAUAUCGGAUUAGCUAGUUGGUGGGGUAAAGGCUCACCAAGGAAACGAUCCCUAGCUGGUUUGAGAGGAGGACCAGCCACACCGGGACUUAGACACGGCCCAGCCUCCUACGGGAGGCAGCAGUGGGGAAUUUUGGACAAUGGUGUAAAGCCUGAUCCAGCCAUCCCGCGUGUAUGAUGAAGGCCUUCGGGUUGUAAAGUACUUUUGGCAGAGAAGCGGUAUCUGCAGAAUAAGCACCGGCUAACUACGUGCCAGCAGCCGCGGUAAUUC